CUGUUUUUGAGUAUCCUUCUAUAGACCUCCCUUGGCAGCUAUGAGUUCUAAAGCCAGCACAGAGGAAGGUACAAAGGUGUUUAGCACCAGUAGCAAUGACUUCGCCAUCAUGACAAAACUCAUUGAUGUUUACCUUUUGCUUAGGCCUUGAACUUGUGAUAAUCCGGCCCAAUUGGGCCCAAAACCAGCUCACAAAGCCCACC
rnacentral:lncRNA from 1 species